UCAAAGACCAUUGACAUUGGCGAAAUGUGUACGAUGGCUGGCCUAGGAUAGCCAAGUACUGGCAAACUUACCAGAACCUCUCCAUCGUUGUCUUGUCAUUGUUGUAUCCAUCGUUGUUCUUUCAAUCUUUCACAAAUAAUCAAUUAUCUAUUUUAUUUUUUGGAGAAGGGGAGGACAGUUCCAUUUUAAAAGGUUUUUGUGUUUGUUACCUGAUUGUUUCUUUAAACUGGCACUGUUAUGCCAAACAUACCGUUCUCCAAUUAAUUUAUCUUCUCCUCUCAGAAUCAUUUAUCCUUUUUUUGUUUAUUCCUGAUAUAUUUCUUUAACACCAAAGACAAAGUAAUGACUACUACUUUUUUUUUCCCAAGGCUUGACUUUCUAUGGCUAAAGGAGGAGCGUAAGUAUGCUCCAUUUCCUGUGUAAAGUAGGAUAGUGAGUAUUUUGCAAAAACUUUAUUUGACACAAGAAUUGGAGCGGACUUAAUCUUCUCCUUUGAUCAAAGAAAAUCAAGCAUGGGAAAAAUAUAUAAGACAAAGUAGUCCCUUCUUUGUUUUAUGUGGUCAAGAAAACUACAAGAGAAAUAAUUAAAAAUAAUAAAGGAUUUUGAGAAAGGAAGAGAAAAUUAAACAGGAGACGGGUACGUACGGCAUGACAGUGCCGCUUUAAUUACUUGAAACGGCUCACAUGCUCUUCUACUGCCUUUUUUUUAUCAGGCUUUGGAAUUUUAGCAAUGUUUUUGGGUACUGUUGUGGAUUUUGAAUUCCAAUCCACAUGCAAACUCUCACUGCAAAUUUUUAAUACACUCAUAAGAAUUUGUUCUAUAUGAGUGAUUGUCAUUGGCUCGUACAUAGUACGAACAACCCAUCUUUUUCUGGAACGUGGGAAUUCUAAUCUAUUCCGCAUAGUUCCAACAGGAUCAGUGCCUUUGAACGAAACUUUGACAAUUGCUUGCUCACGAUUAACAUUACUGUUGUGAGCAAGAAUGGCCAAAAUUGUUCUAGCCUCCAUGGAAUCCAGUCCAAAAUGAAUUCUUUUGGGCCUGUACUUCAAAACAAGGCUAUGGAAUGUCUCCAGACAUCCUGUGUGACAGAAGUGGACUAAGUGGUCAAAAUCCUUCACAAGCUGACCAUCAUUAAUAAAUUUAACUAGGUUUUCAUAUGCUUGUGAUUUGGGUUUCAACCAUAAACCUUUGUCAAUCACUUCUUGUGAUAGUGGUUCGUGCG